GACGAACGCUGGCGGCGUGCCUAAUACAUGCAAGUAGAACGCUGAAGAGAGGAGCUUGCUCUUCUUGGAUGAGUUGCGAACGGGUGAGUAACGCGUAUGUAACCUGCCUUGUAGCGGGGGAUAACUAUUGGAAACGAUAGCUAAUACCGCAUAACAAUGGAUGACACAUGUCAUUUAUUUGAAAGGGGCAAUUGCUCCACUACAAGAUGGACCUGCGUUGUAUUAGCUAGUAGGUGAGGUAAUGGCUCACCUAGGCGACGAUACAUAGCCGACCUGAGAGGGUGAUCGGCCACACUGGGACUGAGACACGGCCCAGACUCCUACGGGAGGCAGCAGUAGGGAAUCUUCGGCAAUGGGGGCAACCCUGACCGAGCAACGCCGCGUGAGUGAAGAAGGUUUUCGGAUCGUAAAGCUCUGUUGUAAGUCAAGAACGGGUGUGAGAGUGGAAAGUUCACACUGUGACGGUAGCUUACCAGAAAGGGACGGCUAACUACGUG
rnacentral:rRNA from 1 species